GAGGUCUGCUCCACCUGCGAAGGAUGAGGGUGGCUGCUGAGCCUCAUCCACCUGCAGUACAGAGGCAAGGCUAACAACAAAUGUUAAAUCUCAGGUGACCCGGACCCAGAGCAGGGAUGUCCCCUGAUGCCAUCCGCACCCCCAGGACAGCUGGAUGACAGCGGGCAGAUGGUCCAGGGCAGAGGUGCAAAGCCCCUGCCACAACCACCCGUGGAAGGGGGUCUGCUCCCAUUGCCCCCCAGCGCGUCCCCGGUGUCGGAGGCGGUGGCCCGACGAGCCCUCCUGCGCUUCGUGUCCUCCCGGGGCUGCUGUGGGCCCGGUGCGGGCGAGGAGCCGGCCAUCCGGCGGCUGCGGCAGCGGGGGACGUACCGGGUGAGUGCCUGCAGCUCCAACACAGGGACACCCAGCCACAGAGAGCCAGCCAGUUGUUAAAUUAAAUGGCUUUCAUCCUGCUUUAAGGGCAG
rnacentral:lncRNA from 1 species